rnacentral:rRNA from 1 species
UACGUAGGGUCCGAGCGUUGUCCGGAAUUAUUGGGCGUAAAGGGCUCGUAGGCGGUCUGUUGCGUCGGGAGUGAAAUCUUACAGCUUAACUGUGAACUUGCUUUCGAUACGGGCAGACUUGAGGCAUUCAGGGGAGAACGGAAUUCCUGGUGUAGCGGUGAAAUGCGCAGAUAUCAGGAGGAACACCUGCGGCGAAGGCGGGUUGCUGGGCUGAUACUGACGCUGAGGCGCGAAAGCUAGGGGAGCGAACGGG